UACGAAGGGGCUAGCGUUGCUCGGAAUUACUGGGCGUAAAGCGCACGUAGGCGGAUUGCUAAGUCAGGGGUGAAAUCCUGGAGCUCAACUCCAGAACUGCCUUUGAUACUGGUGAUCUUGAGUCCGGGAGAGGUGAGUGGAACUGCGAGUGUAGAGGUGAAAUUCGUAGAUAUUCGCAAGAACACCAGUGGCGAAGGCGGACUCGCUGGCCCGUA
rnacentral:rRNA from 1 species